rnacentral:rRNA from 1 species
GCUAUGUGACGGCUGGUGGUGGCGGGAGUAGGUAGGGGGUGAGUGUUGUUCGUGAGUGUUGGGCGUAAAUAGGUCGGGUGCUGGUGGUUUGGUCCGCUGUGAAAACGCAGGGCUUAACCCUGGGCUUGCAGUGGAGACGGGCAGACUAGUGGCAGGUAGGGGAGAAUGGAAUUCCCGGUGUAGCGGUUAAAUGCGCAGAUAUCGGGAGGAACACCGGUGGCGAAGGCGGUUCUCUGGGCCUGACCUGUCGCUGAGGAGCGAAAGCGUGGGGAGCGAACAGGAUUAGAUACCCCAGUAGUC